rnacentral:rRNA from 1 species
UACAGAGGGUGCGAGCGUUGUCCGGAAUCACUGGGCGUAAAGGGCGCGUAGGCGGCUUGAUAAGGUUGCGGUGAAAGCCCGGGGCUCAACCCCGGGUCGGCCGUGGCAACUGUCGAGCUGGAGCACUGUAGAGGCAGGUGGAAUUCCGGGUGUAGCGGUGGAAUGCGUAGAGAUCCGGAAGAACACCGGUGGCGAAGGCGGUUAGCUGGGCAGUUGCUGGACACUGAGGCGCGACAGCGUGGGGAGCAAACAGGG